CAUCCUAUUCCAAGCCUCUUUCUCUCUUCCGGCGAACGCAGACGUAGAAACGAAGGUCUUCACCUCUUAUCGUGGCGGCUUCUCCACACUCUAAAACUUGCUUUCUUCCUCUAAAAGUCCUUCAGGUUAUUUAUCUUCUUCUUUGAUGGAUUUAUCUGUGCACACGCUUUAUUUGCAUCGGUGGACUUUCUCUUGGUUGAUCUUAUGCCGCGUCCAUGUCAUUUACUCCUUCAUAUACUUAUUGAUGCGUCCUUUUAUCAACGUUGACCCUUGCGUGGUCUGUUUUGGUACUUGCGGUGAUAUUGACAACAUUUUAGGUAUUUUUAAGAACUAUUGUUGGCCCUGGAUGUAUGAAUUUGCAAUCGCAAUAUUAAUGUCUGUUGUUUAUGGUUUAUUAUCUAUGUUCGCACAAAUUUUUGUUAUACUAUUGAUAGAUAUCACUGAUGUAAAGAGCUGAGAAAAAUUCCCUUUUG